UAGGCGUGAGUGAACCGGAACCCAGU
rnacentral:piRNA from 1 species